CCACGCUAUGCGGGAGAGACACCGGAAUCUGCGGUGUCACCGAAGGAGCAAGCCUCCCCGCCAAUCUCUCAGGUAGAAAGUACCGCUUAGCAAGG
rnacentral:ncRNA from 1 species